rnacentral:tRNA from 1 species
AAGUCCCGGAGAACUUUAAAUCUCUACUCCAGGUUUGCAACCUGGUGUGUUAACACCUCGGAACC